rnacentral:lncRNA from 1 species
UGUCUGACCGGAGCUCUACUCCGUAGUGUCCUGGUGGUUCUCUUAUUGGCCAGCUCUUGUGGUAAACGUAGAUGUAACUAUAAAGAAAUCCUGGGCUCCUACAGAGAGGUCAUCUUCGUUGAGCUUCAGAAUCUGGUAUGAUAGCAGUGUCGCCGACAUUUUGUAUGUACUAAUUCGCUCACUUCACGAUCUCAGUGUCAGUUUACUGCAGUUGCUGUAUGUUGCAGCUGUUCUUCAACAUCAUGUGGUGGGGGGAGUGCUUGGAUAUCCUGUGACAGACUGCCACAAUUGUUACUGCACCAUUGAAGCCUAUAGCUAUUUUUUGUAUAAUAAUAAUAAUAACAAUAAUAAUAAUAAAAUGUUUUCAAACAUUGUUUUAAAUAAAACCAUGUUGCUUGUCCUUUUGCAGAAUUUAACUGGCUCCAUUAAUACCUCCAAAGAGAGAGACCCCUGUCCCUCAGGAAAGGCUCGUCGCAUCCUGGUUUCCAUCUAUGGUAUGACACAGCAGACGCGGUGUCAAAGGGGUGGCAAGCAGCAGUCUGACCUGGAGAAGCCACUGGAGAGCAUGGAGCAGCUCAUCGUUCACAACUGCAGCCCUGAUUAUCUGGUGAGGAGGAGGACAGCAGAGACUAGCUACGUUCUUCCAUUUUUUGUUAAAUGAAUAUCUAUUGAUUCCCCCCCCCCCCCCCCCCCCCCCCCCCCCCCAAGCAAAGUAAGGACACAACAAACAAAGAAAAGAGCAAAAAAUUACUGCUCUACCAAUUCUCACAAAUCUACAAUAAGAAACAAAUGGAGGAAAUGGUUUACAGAUGGUCUGAUCUAUAUGAGGAUAUAUAAACUUCCUUAAAAGACAAGUUUACCCAGAAAUGAAAAAUCAGACACUGUCUACUCAGUCUCAUGCUGCUGAAAUAUCUGGUAAGGUUUUCAGGGUUCACAGAACAUUUCUGGAGGUUCACAACAAACUGCGUUGCAGCAUUCAACCAAACAACUGAAACACAUGGGGACUUGUUUAAAAAAUGUCAAAAAAUAGACAAUGACUCUCAAGGGCUCUUGUUGCAUUAUCUCAGGCUCUGGAAGGCCUGAGAUCCCAAACUGAGAGGAAGGACAAUAUUGGCGCCCUUGACACACAACAAACUUGUUCCCCUACUUCCAGAAAGGUUGUCCGCCUUUAGCUUAGUGACUACAGUGACGAAAAUUUCAACUGAUUAAAGUGUGUAAAUGAUGUCUUUAUGAUUCAAUUUAGGAUUUCAGGGCUUCCAGGGACUUGCAUCAUGCUGUAUGAGCUGUUUAGAACCAUUGCCGUGGUUUAUUUUUUUACAAGUCCCCCCUUCUACUUCAGUUUAAUUUAUGGGAGAACUUUUCCUUUAAGGACGUGACCCUUAUUAGAACACAAUUAAAGCAGAUCACUUGGCUAAACUGCAUAAACAAUCCUUCUGGUUUGUGUGCUUUCAGGGGAGGAAAGCCUCGUGUUCGGCUGUCAAGAAAAUACGAGGAAAGAAGAGAAAGAGGAUCAGGUUGAUCAAAGUCAUCAAGGCGCUGAUCACUUGUUGGCAGAAACUUCAAAGUGUCUAUAUGCUAUAAGUAGAAAAACGUCGUGCUUCCUGGUUCAUGUAAGCCUGUGCUACUCUCUUAUGAAGACAUUCGGUGAACUUCCUGAAAGUUCACUUAAACAGAGGAUACUACAAAACUACAUGCAAUGUCAUGAAUGUUUACUCUUGUCAAGUUCUCAGUGUUUUGUGUCUUAAAACUACACCGGACUUUGUAUGUCAGCAUUGCUCCUUGUUUUAUGGAACAGUUUUAUAGUAACCACAGAUAAGCUAAAAAAAUAUCCACCAUGCAUUCAAAUUCUGUCAGAAUAUGCACAUUUUCCAAGGUGUCUCAUGUUUUAAUAAGCAUGUUUGUCUCUGUACGCUGUGUGUUAUACAUGAAUUUGUCUUCUGUCAUUUAUGUUUUCGGAGUAUAUGUAAUGCAAUAAAACAAACAUUUAAAGCAAUGCUAUGUAGAAAUGAUUGAUGUGAUUUUGGUGUCCACAAUAGCACGAGACCACUGUCUUGUGCCAUUCAUUACAUGAUAACAAGGUUAUAUUUUGAUGUAAACAUGUAUUUUCAUUAAGUUACAUAGUGCAGAAACAAGUGUUAGGAGGCGGGUUGACUGAGACAGAGAAACCCUAUAAGAAGACACGAUACCAUCAACAUGAUUUUG